GAUGAACGCUGGCGGCGUGCCUAAUACAUGCAAGUCGAGCGAACGGACGAGAAGCUUGCUUCUCUGAUGUUAGCGGCGGACGGGUGAGUAACACGUGGAUAACCUACCUAUAAGACUGGGAUAACUUCGGGAAACCGUAGCUAAUACCGGAUAAUAUUUUGAACCGCAUGGUUCAAAAGUGAAAGACGGUCUUGCUGUCACUUAUAGAUGGAUCCGCGCUGCAUUAGCUAGUUGGUAAGGUAACGGCUUACCAAGGCAACGAUGCAUAGCCGACCUGAGAGGGUGAUCGGCCACACUGGAACUGAGACACGGUCCAGACUUCUACGGGAGGCAGCAGUAGGGAAUCUUCCGCAAUGGGCGAAAGCCUGACGGAGCAACGCCGCGUGAGUGAUGAAGGUCUUCGGAUCGUAAAACUCUGUUAUUAGGGAAGAACAUAUGUGUAAGUAACUGUGCACAUCUUGACGGUACCUAAUCAGAAAGCCACGGCUAACUACGUG
rnacentral:rRNA from 1 species